AAUAGAUACCCGGGUAGUCCACGCCGUAAACGGUGAGUGCUAAGUGUUAGAGGGUUUCCGCCCUUUAGUGCUGCAGCUAACGCAUUAAGCACUCCGCCUGGGGAGUACGGCCGCAAGGCUGAAACUCAAAGGAAUUGACGGGGGCCCGCACAAGCGGUGGAGCAUGUGGUUUAAUUCGAAGCAACGCGAAGAACCUUACCAGGUCUUGACAUCCUCUGCCAACCCUAGAGAUAGGGCGUUCCCCUUCGGGGGACAGAGUGACAGGUGGUGCAUGGUUGUCGUCAGCUCGUGUCGUGAGAUGUUGGGUUAAGUCCCGCAACGAGCGCAACCCUUGAUCUUAGUUGCCAGCAUUCAGUUGGGCACUCUAAGGUGACUGCCGGUGACAAACCGGAGGAAGGUGGGGAUGACGUCAAAUCAUCAUGCCCCUUAUGACCUGGGCUACACACGUGCUACAAUGGAUGGUACAAAGAGCAGCGAACCCGCGAGGGUAAGCCAAUCUCAUAAAGCCAUUCUCAGUUCGGA
rnacentral:rRNA from 1 species